rnacentral:tRNA from 1 species
UGGGGAAUAGCUCAUGGUAGAGCACAUGUUUAGCAUGCACGAGGUCCUGGGUUCAAUCCCCAGUUCCUCUG